UACGGAGGAUGCAAGUGUUAUCCGGAAUCACUGGGCGUAAAGCGUCUGUAGGUGGUUUGCUAAGUCCGCUGUUAAAGCUUGAAGCUCAACUUCGAAAAUGCAGUGGAAACUAGUAGACUUGAGUGUGGUAGGGGAGACUGGAAUUCCUGGUGUAGCGGUGAAAUGCGCAGAUAUCAGGAGGAACACCGAUGGCGAAGGCAGGUCUCUGGACCACUACUGACGCUGAUGCACGAAAAGUGUGGGGAUCAAACAGG
rnacentral:rRNA from 1 species